rnacentral:rRNA from 1 species
CCUACGGGAGGCAGCAGUGGGGAAUAUUGCACAAUGGGCGAAAGCCUGAUGCAGCGACGCCGCGUGAGGGAUGACGGCCUUCGGGUUGUAAACCUCUUUCAGCAGGGAAGAAGCGAAGGUGACGGUACCUGCAGAAGAAGCGCCGGCUAACUACGUGCCAGCAGCCGCGGUAAUACGUAGGGCGCAAGCGUUGUCCGGAAUUAUUGGGCGUAAAGAGCUCGUAGGCGGCUUGUCACGUCGGAUGUGAAAGCCCGGGGCUUAACCCCGGGUCUGCAUUCGAUACGGGCUAGCUAGAGUGUGGUAGGGGAGAUCGGAAUUCCUGGUGUAGCGGUGAAAUGCGCAGAUAUCAGGAGGAACACCGGUGGCGAAGGCGGAUCUCUGGGCCAUUACUGACGCUGAGGAGCGAAAGCGUGGGGAGCGAACAGGAUUAGAUACCCUGGUAGUCCACGCCGUAAACGUUGGGAACUAGGUGUUGGCGACAUUCCACGUCGUCGGUGCCGCAGCUAACGCAUUAAGUUCCCCGCCUGGGGAGUACGGCCGCAAGGCUAAAACUCAAAUGAAUUGACGG